AAUAUUGGACAAUGGAGGCAACUCUGAUCCAGCCAUCCCGCGUGAAGGAUGACGGCCCUAUGGGUUGUAAACUUCUUUUGUAUGGGAAGAAUGGCAUGCAUUUAUGCGUGUUUGACGGUACCAUAAGAAUAAGCACCGGCUAACUCCGUGCCAGCAGCCGCGGUAAUGCGGAGGGUGCAAGCGUUAUCCGGAAUCACUGGGUUUAAAGGGUGCGUAGGCGGCAUUAUAAGUCAGAGGUGAAAGCUUGCAGCUUAACUGUGAAAUUGCCUUUGAUACUGUAGUGCUUGAAUUAGGCUGAGGUUAGCGGAAUGUGACAUGUAGCGGUGAAAUGCAUAGAUAUGUCAUAGAACACCAAUUGCGAAGGCAGCUAACUAGUCCUAUAUUGACGCUGAGGCACGAAAGCGUGGGGAGCGAACAGGAUUAGAUACCCUGGUAGUCCACGCCCUA
rnacentral:rRNA from 1 species